AAAUAAUAAUGGCCAAAUGUUGCACAAUCCAGGUGUUGAACGUUUUUAGAGACGCAGAAAGACUCACAGCUGUAAUCGCUGCCAAAGGUGCUAAUACAAAGUAUUGACUCAGUGAUGUAAAGACUUAUCUAAAUGAAAUAUUUCUGUAUUUCAUUUUCAAAAAUGUAGCAAAAAAUUACAAAAAACAUGUUUUCAAUUUGUCAUUGUGUAUUGUAUUGUGUGUAGAUUGGUGAGAUUGUUUAUUUAUUUAGUACAUUUUGAAUUCAGGCUGUAACACAACAUAAUGUGUGAUAAGUCAAGGGGUUUGAGUACUUUAUGAAAAUACCCUCAAAUUAAGGGGAAAUUCUGUACUGUCGCCUUAUAUAAAACAUUCUAUCUUAAAUCUAAAAUACUGGAGUAUAGAGCCAUACAUAUUUUUUGGGCUUCACUGUCCAAAUGCAUAUGGAGGGGAGUGUAUGACCGAUAAAUGAUUCUGAUUGUUCAGAUACCCUUACCUCUGCAACAUUAGUUCACACUUGCUGUAUGAGACUGUUGUUUAGGUUUCUGCUCUCUGUGGUUUUGCUGUGCACAAGCUCCACAUUUACGUCUCUAUUCAAACAAUCCUCUGACUCAGUCACACACCUUACUGUGAAGUCAGACUAACAGUAUGUAGCUGACUGACAAAUGGCAUUGUUCAUCCCUGAUAUGGCUGGUCAUCUGUUCUUGGUCAUCCUCCUUUUUGGUGAGUUAUUUCUACAUUUCUACAGUUUCAUCAUCUGUUUGUGCUACAGGAUAUUCCUCUUCUUCUCUCCCCUCUUUUUGUCUUUUAAUUGAGGAACUCUUGAUAUUUCUGAAUCUCAUGGCUAUGAUGAGUGUCUUGUAUCUUAUUCCAUUAAUCAUCUUAUUUAUUUCUCUCUAUCAUUAUUUUACAAUUUGUUGAGUUAAGAAUGACCACUGCUUGAUCCCCAUUAAUGCAUUACAGUAGAUUACGCUACUUUACCAACUUGUGUGAAGUGUUCAGGUGUCUCCUGUUAAAACAUACUUUUUGAAUGGCAGAUGAUGAUAAUCUAUUUUAUAAUUUCUAGAUACGUUCCAAUCCAUCAAAGCCCAAGGUCAGUAUCAUUAUUAUGAGUUUUUAGUUACCCAGUAAAAAUAUUAUAAUAAUCAUGGUAUGAGAUGUUUUUUCACAGUAGAGACUCACUAUCCAUCGAUGCACAGUCAUCCUGCGCCUAUCACUAUUCUUGGUAAACUGCAGAAACCAGACAUUAGUGUCAAUGACGAAUCAUCUCAUGACAUCACUAUUGCCUGUGUACUUCCUGAGUCUGUCAGUGAUGGUCAUAGCUGUAACCUGUACACUGGAGACCAGCCUCAGGCCUACAAAGAGGCUUGGGUCAGAAACCAAAUAUUACAGUCAGUCUGAAUGAGAACUUCAUCAUCACCUGUUUAAUUCCUGGCUCUGUCAGUAAUGACACCACAUGUAACCUGUAUGUUGGAGAGAAGAGUAAGUGUCUCAUAAGAGCACACAUCAGGGAGAAGAAACACACCAAUUCCAAAUGCUGGUUCUGUCAAUUCUCUGUGGAUGAGAAUGAUCUGAUCAAUUGUCUACAGUCAGCUCAGGACCAAACUCUCUCUCUCUCCACGUAGUGAUGGGUACAGCUUUACAGGUGAGUCAUUAUCAAUACAGUAAGAAUCUAUCAGUGCUGCAGGUCUUCAUGAUCUGACUACCUUUUGAUUAGUUUAAAAUGACUAUAUUAAUUCUGACCCUCCCUCCCCCACUAACUCAAUCACUCACUCAUUUUUGCUCGCUCUUUGGAGCAUAGCACUUUGACAUAUGGAUCUCCACACUGUCUUAAUCUGGGCCAGAUCCCAGGCUGAUCUGGUGUUGAGUCCCAGGAUGAGAAGUUUAAUUUCUUUGUUGAACUGGUUCAGCGUUUAGAUUGUAUCUAUGCACUGUUGUGCUUCAGCUGUUAGUUACAUGGGGACCUUAUUCUAGGAAGCUGAUAACAACAAUCAACACCUUAUCUGUCCUGAUCAUUAUCAUCACCUUAUGAACUGGUCUUAUCAUCUCUAUAAUGAGGAGAAAUAUAAUCUACCAGGGCAGGAAGCAAUCUGUCCGUAGUGAUUUUAUAGUCCUACUUUUCCUACUUUGAAAAGACAAGUCAUGAAGGUAUUUCAAAAGGACAACAACCACCUGAAUAAAAUACUAGAUCUACUUUGCCUCCCAGCACGACAGUGAAUCCUACAUCAGGUGUAUUGGUCAUCUUUCUCUAGUUAGCAGAUAGGACCUAAACAAAUAGACUAGCUUUAUUGAACCUAGGUUUUUAUGCACAAAUUUCCCCUGAUUAAAAAAACAUUAAUAUUUCACUAAUUAAAUCAACCCAUUUAGAUACCUUUGUUAUUGUAUAAUCAGAUCCAAUGACUUUGCUUUGCACCGGGUUUGACUUCUAGUUCUACUUUGACAACUGACACCCCUAAGAGUCCACAUGAUUUUAGUUUAGUGGUGUAAUAAGUUGUGUUGUGUGUUAACUGUUAUUAAACAGUCUCUCUCUUGCAUGUGCCCAGGAGGUCAAAGCUCCACAGAAAGCGUUCUGGGUAAGCAUCCAUCUCUAGCUGACUACCUGUCUUUUCUCAGACAAAUUUACAAGUUUACAAUAAAACAUAUUCUAUAUUAUUCUCAGAAAAUAAAAUGUUGUCCCCCAACUCCCUUACCAUGUAGGUCCAUUGCUUGUUCAAGAGGUGCUGAUAUCUGAUCGUUUUGGUUAAUACAUCCCAUACCUCAAUUGUAUUUACCCGAGCUUUGUUUAUCAUGCCCGCUGAUUGCUCUAUACGAACAAUAUCUUGAAAAUAUGAUAACCAUGUUUGAGGCAAGAGGAUUGUAGGGGUAAUCCACUAAGGAUAACCUUUUGUGCUGCUGUUAACUCCUAGUUCAGGUUGUGCCCCAAUCUCUGCAUUUCACAGUUCCAUACUAGAGUGACACCCAAUGUAGAGCAUUUAACAGACAGCAGGCAAUCAUAAGUGGCAGAGACCAUUCUAGAAGUUAAUGAAGGGAAUAACCAUGUAAGCAUUAUUUGGGAUGUUAACGGGGCAUCCCAUGGUACACCAUAAACUUUUAAGGUUCUGGGUUUUAACAAUAAUAUGCCAAAUUAUGAAAUUGUGAAUCUUUCUACUGACUGAGUUGUGUUGUACUCUAACAGCAAUAACAAAUACCUUUCUAUUUGUGUAAUCAGGGUUCCUAACCAAUUGUGCUAUUCUGGGUGUUUUUUGUGACCUGUUUUUUACAUAAUGUUUCUGCCACUGUCUCUUAUGACCGAAAUGAGCUUCUGGACAUCAGAUUUUUUCUUAAUGAAUUGAAGGAGAAAGAUUUACAUCAUUUCACGGACCAUGCCCAAAGCCCCGUCAUUCGCAUGAAGAGGAGACGACCGAUACAGGGGCCGCAGAUCCUGAUGCUUGGUGAGAAUUCGUCUGCAAGUGGAUAAUCCUGCUUUACCAUCCUUAUCUUAUGCUUCACCGAGUCAUGGCUGAACGAGGACAUGGAUCAUAUACAGUUGGCUGGGUUUUCCGUGAAUCGGCAAGACAGAACAAUAAACAUCCAGUAAGAUGGUGGUCUGUGUCUA